CACACACACACACACACCUCUUUCUCUCUCCCUCCUUCCCACCAUCCCUCCCUCUGUCUCUGGACUUGGGAUUGCUGUAAAUGUUCUUCAGAUGAAGUGACAGCAGCCAUCAGUACUCUUUCCUGGGAAAUAAGGAAGGCUUAUCUGAUCAUGCUGCCAAGAUAGGGGAGGACUGACCCAGCAGUCUCACCUGCUGCCCCAGAAGCUGGAUGGGACAUCGGAGAUCUCAUGGGACAGCAAAGGACCUGUGGGUCACUGCAAGGAACCCAGAGAGAAAUUCCCCUGGUUUCUGGAAGGGAUGGCUGUAACCGUUCUUUGUGGUAUGCGUGACAGCCUCUGGCUCUCUGGCCAGCCUUCCUCAGCUUGACAACCUAGCAGACUGAGCUGUAGAAGCUAGAAUUUCUAUCUUCAAAAAUACUACUAGAAACCUCCAGACUGAGCCCUCUGGGACAGUCUAUGUAAGGGCUCCCUGAGUGCCAAGUGGCCAUCUGUGUAUAUAAAGGAUGUCCCAGCUUGGCUAGGCUAUUUCAUUGAAGUACAAGGAGGUAGUCUCUGGGACAAAGUCCCAGGCAAGAGACAGCUUCAUGCAGCUACAGGAGGAAACUGAACUUCCUUAAAAUCACAAGACUACAGAAGAGAUGUGGUCUAGAUAUGAGCCUAGAGCAAUGGCAGUACCCCAAAUUCACCUCAGGGCAGAACUAGUCUUUUUUGUGUCCACGGAAGGCUUUGGGCACUUGUAGCGACCAGGACUGAAGGGUGGGAAUACGAGUCCUGUGUGUGGGAUCGUAUGUAUAUGGAAGGUCCUAGCAUGGGCCAUGGCCUGCACCUGGCUUAAGCAGUUGGUUAGAUCAUUGAGAAGAUUAGACUGAUCCAAUCAAACCAUCUGACUGCCCUGCCCCAUGCUAUUCCCCCUUCAGCAAGGUCCAGAGUCUAUUCCAUAAACCCCCUUCUCUAGUAAAAGUUCCCAGGGGAAGGCUUUAUUUUUAAAAAUUACAUAAGCGUCUUCUCCCAAGUUUAGGGAAACAGAGUGUUGCUCACACAAUGGCUAGUAGUAGCCAGGCCCCAGAAGCCAGAUGUGCUCAUUUCACUAUAGUAUUAGAAAGAGAAACUAUAGGAAGAGUUGCCAAAAAGGGUGGUAUCCUUGCAAGAGGGGACCAUGGAGGAUGAGUCCUGGGACAGCUGGAUUGACUGAGGUAGCUCUGAUAGGGCCUUAGAGUGGGAAGGAAUCCAAUACUUCUUACACUGCUCCGGGGUGGGAGCUAAGCGCUGUGCCGAGGUGCCCUGUGGCGGGCAGCUUGGACCCUCCUAUUUCAACUGUAAUAGCAAUGCCUAAGGGUUCUUUAACUCAGCUGAUAUCUUAGCCUUUGUUCAGAAGAGGGUUUCUGAGCCUCGCCUGGUUUGCAAACUUCUGUACUAGUUAGAUGAACUCCUGGGAAGAUCCCCCCCCCCCACCCCUGCCAGAGGCAGUUAUUCUGGAUCCUGAAGAUGCUGUGUAGCUGCAGUGUAGACAGAACAAAGGGACGCCAUUUGUUUCUGGAGAAGCAUUACUCUGAUUGGAGACUGGAACUAAACAGAGGCCUUAGGGGCUUCAGGUUGGGGGUGCUGUCUGGAGCGGAGGCAACAACUUCUGAGUGGUGGGUGAUUGUUUGACCAGCUAGGCUCUCAGGAGCAGAGGCACAGCGAGGUGUCUGUGGACACGAGUCAGCUUGAUAAGCUAGAUGAAGCUUAUAGCAGCCUGUUCAGAACCCUGGUUCUGCCUACUAAGCUCCGAACCCCAUGUUUGUGUCCUCUUAGCCUGCCCCAUCAUCUCUGAGGUAGUGACUGGGGCUGGGUCCAGAACACUAGUGGAGAUCUCUUAAGCCCUGGCUGUGGGAAUCCAGAUGAGGAAGCCUCAUGGGAAAUUUGAGGUCUGGUCAUCUCUCUCCUUUCAUACCACCUCGGCCCAGCUAACAUAACGAGGUUCCAAGCCCCAUUUUAAUAAGUACUAGGCUACAGGAAGGCCCAGCGUGGAGCAUGUGCUUAGCAUACGUAGGCCAUUUCCUUCCCUAGCACCAAAAAUCAAAGGGUAAGGUGGAGGCCUUCUUGACAUCCUAGCUUAGUCUCUUAUUCAGGAUUAUUUGCUGAACCGUCCGUCCUUUGGAUGGCACUGUUCCGAGCAUGGGGAUCAGUUAGAAGACAGUCAUGGAGGUCUUAAUGAAAGCAAGUAUGUCCAAAUAGACGGCAGAGGCCUAGAGAAGAGGAGGUGACCGAAGGUCAGGGGAUGAAGUAUUGGCUGCACCCGGGCAUGAGUGGAAGCGGAGCCAAGAGGCAGCAGACUUGUGAAUUUGGGCUAUACUUGGAAUGGUGGGCCUGACAUGACAGUAACAUGUGCCAGCUUGACAUUCGGUCUCCAGCACUGAUUGUUACUGUUGGAGCCUGAGGGUGCUGGUCUGCCCAUUUUCCCAGCAGGCACUCAUUAAUGGUGGCCUUGCAGCUGCUCCAGGCAGGAAGCAGCUGCUCCAGGCACCUUAUUGGACUUGAUGUCGUCACCCUCAGUGAGACUGAGCCUGCCACAUUCCUGGGCUCCUCUCACUGGUUCUCUAGAGCCAGGUCACCUGGAAGAGCUACAAGCUGCUACCUGGUCUGCUCCAGCAUGGAGAGGAGGGUUACUCUUGGAAGCCCAGGACAUAGGGUUAGAUGACAAACCUCUAGAGUCUUUCAUUCCCAUCAUCGAGAGCUUAGUCAUGUCUGGGGGGAGGAAGGAGUGGGGAGAGAUAGGCCUUCGGAGAGGCAUGGUAAGGAUAGACGUUGUUGUUUAGGUGGAAGACAGCUCCAGAAGAGACAUUAGAAUCCACCUGAGGCUAGAGUGCCCGGGAGGACCACCAGAGUUUAUGCCCAAAGAGUCAGGUUGGGUCCUACAAAUGCCAGGGAGCCACAAAUGUUAUCUGAGUAUCUACCAUCAUGCCAAGGAUAUGUCCUCUGAUUGACAGUGUCCAGGCUGGGAUUCAGAGCAGGACACUUGGGUGCUGGCAGAUGAGAAGGAGUAACUGAAUAGUGAGUAAGAAAAGCAGAACUUAGCUGGGAACAGUAGUAACUGUUUACUCUUAGUAGUAACUGUUACUCCCAAGCCAAAAACUAAAAGAAGACCUUCCCACAUGGGAAGACUUUAUGCCUGGCAUCCCUCAGGGAACUGUUUGUGGAGACUGAGGCAUACAGAGACCAUGGCGCACUAGACCUCUCCCUCUUCAGGCUCUCUGAACCUACCCUUUCUUUUCCCCUCCCCUAGGACUGGAAGCACAAAGCCAGCCUUUGCUGGGUUGGGAUGGGAGUCAGCACUAUGGAAAUAGCAGCCUGGACACUGUAGCAUGGCCGUCCUGUAGGACCUGGGGGCUGAGGCUGCCUGGGUGGUACUGCUCAUCUGGACCACCACCAGUUCAGAGAACACCUUUCCUAGGCAGAUGGGACUUACCAAGGAAAAAGUCUGUUACUCUGGUCUAGGGAGGAGACAGGAUUCAGAGAAGGGACCUUUUCAUAGGACAGAAUGAGUGUGCCUUCGAUGGCACCCUCAGCUAAGAAGCCACAUAUCUAGUAAGGCAGGUAGGAAGGGCAUCUCUGAGAGAUGGAGAGGGCUCAGAGUGCCAGAUGGGACUGGGAAACUCAGGGCUGCCUUCCCUUCCCUUCUCUCUAAUCUUCUCUACCCCCUUACCCACUCCUCCUUCCCCCUGGUUUCCUGACUCUGACUCCAGGAUACUUGGCUUCAUGACCCCAUGUUCACUAAGCAGCCAAGCAGGACUCCAGGUCCUUGACUGCAUAAACACUGCAUAUGCAGAACGCGCUGAGUCUCAGAGAAACGGUGAGCUCUACGUAGGCUCUGAUUGGAGGGUUAACAUUAGGAGCAUCCAAUCUGGAAGGUGGUGCCAUGGUCUCCUGUGGCUGACCCACCAAGAGCUCUGGCCGAAUGCCCGUGGGCUACUCACUUCCAGACUCCCUAGCCUCUGCUCCCUUUCCACGGGGCCCAGAAACUCCAGCACAGAGCUGAACUAGGCUUUCGUAUUGACCGUCUGUGCCCCGGUGAAAGGAAAGGCUGGAUAUGGCCGCAAGUCCAAGGAAUCGUAAUUUCUCUCUCCUCAGUCACUAGAACAUCCUGAUACCUGACUGUAUGGAGCACCCCCUCCAUGAGCCUCCUAGGAAGCCUGGGUCUGGGUGGCACCAGGGAGAGGAGCAGAAGUGUAAAUUGUGUGGCAAGCUGCCGGCUCUGAGGUGAAAAUGAAAAGUCUUCAGGCAACAGCGGCAGAGGCACAGCAGCCUGGGGUGCCAGGCACAGCACCCCACCUCCCCACCUCACUCCUUCACACUUCCCCCCUCUGUAGUCUUCCCCAGACUCCUGCUCAGGCCUGGCCCUGCCUGCCUGGCUUCUCUGUCAUCCUCUGCCAUUCAGAUGGGCGGGCCCUGAGAGAAACCUAAUUCUAAGGCUUGUUGCUCCUGUUGUGUUUUUCCCGUUUGCUGACCUCUGUUACUGAUGUUUAUGGCAGGCCUAUCCGGCAUCCAUUCUUUUGUAGUUUUCCACAUGUGCAGUGCCUUUAAAUAACAGGGUUUUGUUUUUCCUAGUUCUCCCUUCUCUUGAAAUUAUUUAUUCUUUUAUUUUAUAAUUGGAGACACCGAGGCCCAGAAGGAACCCACUCAUUUGUCAGUAGCUUAAGCUAAGAUUCUAGAUACCUGUAUGGGGCUUUCUUGGCUACUCUGUCUCUCUUCUCUCCUCUUCCUGUCUUUUUUGCCUGUACUCUUCAAGGCUUUGGACAGGAGCAGGGUAGCAUGAAGAGGGGCAGGGAGGGAAGGAAGGAGGUACUCUUCUAGCCCUUCAGUAUAGGCUCUCCCUGCUGGUCUUGGGCUUCCCCGGGACAUGACAGAAAGGUUUAGGUUCUAGGCCAGAAACUGUAAUGGAGUCUGGUGGAGAUGAGAUAGGGAGCCAUGGAGAAGGAAGUCAACGGAAGCUCCUGGGCAGAAUAAUAACAAUGUGCUGUGUUGUAGCUGCAACCUCCUGCUGUGCCUCCCCCAAGCACUGUGCACACGCAGGGUAGACCGGCUGCCUGAGGGACCUCUGGGGUCUGCGCCCCCAGUUGUGAGGACUGCUGUGUGCAGGCGGGAGCCUAUCGGUGUCUAUGUAAUUAAAAAUGAGCAUGCAUCACUUCCCCCAGCUCGGAGAAGCUCCCACCUCGGGUGGGGUGUAACAGCUGCUGGCUGGCUGUGUGACUGCUUGGUUGUCCAGCUUGGCACAGAGGGGUAAGACUGGUCAGCAAAGGGUGAGCAAAGAGACCCAGUGAAGAAAGAGGUAAGAAGGAUGUAUCAGGCAGGACUUAUCCUUUAUGGGCCUGGAGAUGUGUGUAUGGGUAAGAGAUGUGUGACCUAGUCCUUGACUCGCACCCAUGACUUCCCCACCUGAGGCAUUUGCCACGGAGCCCUAAGCGGAUCCAGCCCUUGAGCAGCCCACAGGUGGGGUCCUCCUUCGGUUUCUAGCCUGGCCUGGCUGCUUCCAUCCCUUGCCCUUCCAUACCUCUGACUAAAGCCAACAACACACAGGCUGAUGCUCUGAGAGCAAAACACAAAAUAAAGAUUGUUCAGGUCCUCCCUCUUACCUCCAUACUCCUGGAUUCAGAAAGAUCUACCUGUGGCUCCCGACAGAACAUCACCAUCAUACCAGCCCUGGAUGGUGCGGGCAGAUACUUAACCCUGCCCCAGAGGACUUAUCCUGAGAUGAAGAGUAAGGCCCCAAGGUGGCUGAGGUGACUCUCAAGACGGUUGCCUUGUGUAAUGGAUAAGCUGCUCUGUCGUUUGUCUCCCAGCACUUUGGAUAGGUGGUCUGUGUUAGUGGAGGGCGAGUGGUAGGAGGGGAUGCCCUGAUGACUGAUGUCUCCCUUUCUUCUUUCCAAUUCGGGAAGGCCUGGGUUGGAGAGCAGGCCUGGAGGUGCGUCUAAAGGACUGGUACUCCACUGGCUGACUUCUCCCGUUGGGUGGAGGGCUGUGGAGGUCUGCACCUCUUCCCCCUGGAGAGGAUCUGAUGGUGUCUGUGUAAGCUGCUCUGGGUGGAAGUUUGUCAGAAAUAGCCACAUGGCCAAGGAAGAUUAUUGCCCCCACCCACCUACUCUUGGCUUCUUGGGCUGAGGUACUUCAGGGCUGAUUGGGAUUUCAGGCUCCAUUUUCCAGCCAUACCAGGCUGUUGUGGCAUUGAGCUGGUGUCCUUGGCCAUUGGCAGUCUGUUCUCCAAGGGCUCCCUGGGGCUAGCCGAGGGAGAGGCAGCUGGCCUCAUCUUCCUCCAAUGGUUUUCCAAUAUUUCCUGGCUCAUCGACAUGCUGUUUGGGCAGUAACUCCUGCUGUGGAGUGAGGACCCAGGAGCCAGCCCAUGGCUACCCCUUCUUUCCCUGGAGGCUGCACCUGGCUGGAAAGGGAAAGGCUUAUUCUCUCUGCCUGAUGACUCGGGGAGGGGGCAUAUGCUGGUUCUGCCCCAGUGCUCUCUAUCCCUAGUUCCCAUUAGUCUCUCCUGCUUGGUAGAGAGAGCAGAAAGGGGAGAGUGGUCUCCUGGGAAGGACUGCAGGGACAGCUGUAAGCCCCUUCUCUGCCCAAGGGCUAAUGUAGAAGUUUUACCCCUUUGCCUUCUUAUUGCCCCUUCUCUUCCGCUCCUGAGUCUGAAUUUUGACAGGAUCCAGAAUGUGUUAUAAUGAUUUGGGGUUGAGCAGGCAAUGGGAUUUUAAUUAGCUUCAUGCUUCCCUCCAGUAGGGAGGGCCAGGUCUGAAGCAGGCCUGGGCAGCUAGUGCUCUGCUCCCUGUGUAGGAGGCUGCGAAGAGGUAGGGGUGGGCAGAGAACUGAAGCUGGGCCACAGUUUGCUCUCCAUCCUCUGUCUCCCCCUUCCCUCUGUUCUCCCGAUGGCUUUGAGAUGAAGGCGAUGGCAAGGAUGGAGGAUGCAGUUUCCAUGGUAACAGGCUGUCCACAGCCAGGCAACUUCAGAGCUGGGCUCUCCGGAGGAGGCAGAUGCGCAGCGCAGCCACGGAGCUGCCUGCCAAUGAGGGGGCUGGCAGAACAGGUGGCACGGGGUGGCUGCCUGGUGCUGCCCACCCUGAUGCCCAGCCCAGAAGAGAGGGUAGAAAGAGCACUUCCCCUCUUCCUUAUUACUGUCAGGCUCUUCCCAAAGGAACGGUUGGAGGUACCAUGAGUUUGGUAAGGGUCAGGGCUGGGGUAUGAGCCUCAUCAUCUCUGGAAUCUGGAUGGAUGGUCACAGAGAGAUGGCCAUUGGUCAUUCUGAUGCUGCCACUUGGACCUUUUAAAUGCUCAGAGUUUGGUGAUGUUGGUGAAUGACGUGCUCUGACUGUAUUUGGGGACCCCUUCAUUCUUUUUAACUGCUAAGGAAGGAACUGGAUCUUCUGGGUGCCCCCGUGGCUUUGGCAACCUGGCCCAGAUUGUUGAAUGGAGCUUAGGUUUGGCAGAUACCUGUCCUCAGGUGCCAGCUUUGGAAGGGUCCCAGAGCCUGGUAGCUCAUACUUUUUUACAGGGUGAUCUGUCCCCUGACAGUACAUUGUCCUCAGGCUCCUCCCGAGAACUGGGCCUCUAGUAAGCACGUCCAGAAACAAAGGCAGCCAUCAAAAACAACACAAAAAGCUAAAAGGUAUAUAUAGAGAGAGGACAUGAGCCUGGCUGUGGAGGAGGCCUGGAGAGCAACCAGAGAUCGGCAUGAAAGAUUGGAGUCAAAACUAGUAAAAAUAAUGACUCCAUUUCACUGACCUUAGAAGCACCAGGGCAAGGGUGUGGUCCUCUGUGUUUGGAUACUCAGGAGAAAAGGCUUUGCCUGGAUUACUUGUGGAGAUUGAAUCUGAGCCGUUGCUGACCUACGGUGGGCCACCUACGUUGAUUUGGCCUCCUGGAUGUACUCUCUCUCUAGCUGGCACUGAGGGUCCUAGCUGCGUCCCCUGUUCAGACUUCUUAUCCCUUCAUUUUCCUUCCAUGGGCUCUUUUUAAUUGGAGGAGGUUCCUCAACUCUUGGGUUGGCCAGGCAGGCAGACAAGUGGAGUCCUGGAGUGGCAUCUCGAACCAGGUGAUAAGUCUCUCAUUACUGCUAAGUGGAAGGCUCACUUUAGAGCUCACGGUGAGAGCUUGGCAGGUGCUAUAAAUAACCAUGUUGCGAAGGUUAGCGGGUGAGCAGUGACAGGGCAGGGGCCGCCAUCACAAGAGAGGGAGGGCAGAAUCUACAUCAAGAGACACUGGCUCCCUGUUCGGGUUGUUCCUGCCUGCCUGAGGGUAGCUCUGGCAUGUGUCUGCUGCUUUGAUGCACCUGGGGGUAAGAAAUAUUGGUCCGUGUCC
rnacentral:sRNA from 1 species